GACGAACGCUGGCGGCGUGCUUAACACAUGCAAGUCGAACGGAAAGGCCCUGCUUUUGUGGGGUGCUCGAGUGGCGAACGGGUGAGUAACACGUGAGUAACCUGCCCUUGACUUUGGGAUAACUUCAGGAAACUGGGGCUAAUACCGGAUAGGAGCUCCUGCUGCAUGGGGGGGGUUGGAAAGUUUCGGCGGUUGGGGACGGACUCGCGGCUUAUCAGCUUGUUGGUGGGGUAGUGGCUUACCAAGGCUUUGACGGGUAGCCGGCCUGAGAGCGUGACCGGCCACAUUGGUCCUGAGGUACGGCCCAGAAUCCUACGGGAGGCAGCAGUGGGGAAUAUUGCACAAUGGGCGGACGCCUGAUGCAGCGACGCCGCGUGCGGGAUGAUGGCCUUCGGGUUGUAAACCGCUUUCGCCUGUGACGAAGCGUGAGUGACGGUAAUGGGUAAAGAAGCACCGGCUAACUACGUG
rnacentral:rRNA from 1 species